UACGUAGGGGGCUAGCGUUGUCCGGAAUCAUUGGGCGUAAAGCGCACGUAGGUGGCGACGUAUGUCGGGUGUGAAAGCCCCGGGCUCAACCUGGGAAUUGCAUCCGAAACUGCGUUGCUGGAGUACGGAAGAGGAAGGCGGAAUUCCCGGUGUAGCGGUGAAAUGCGUAGAGAUGUGGAGGAACACCGAUGGCGAAGGCAGCCCCCCUGGGUCAACACUGACGCUCAUGCACGAAAGCGUGGGGAGCAAACAGG
rnacentral:rRNA from 1 species